CCUACGGGAGGCAGCAGUGGGGGAUAUUGCACAAUGGGGGGAACCCUGAUGCAGCGACGCCGCGUGGGUGAAGAAGCGCCUCGGCGCGUAAAGCCCUGUCAGCAGGGAAGAAAAUGACGGUACCUGAAGAAGAAGCCCCGGCUAACUACGUGCCAGCAGCCGCGGUAAUACGUAGGGGGCAAGCGUUAUCCGGAUUUACUGGGUGUAAAGGGUGCGCAGGCGGAGGUGCAAGUCAGCGGUCAAAUUGCGGGGCUCAACCCCGUACUGCCGUUGAAACUGCAUCCCUUGAGUGCGCGAGAAGUAUGCGGAAUGCGUGGUGUAGCGGUGAAAUGCAUAGAUAUCACGCAGAACUCCGAUUGCGAAGGCAGCAUACCGGCGCGCAACUGACGCUCAUGCACGAAAGCGUGGGUAUCGAACAGGAUUAGAUACCCCAGUAGUC
rnacentral:rRNA from 1 species